rnacentral:rRNA from 1 species
UACGUAGGGUGCAAGCGUUAAUCGGAAUUACUGGGCGUAAAGCGUGCGCAGGCGGUUGUGUAAGACAGAUGUGAAAUCCCGCGGCUCAACCGUGGAACUGCCUCAGAUACUGACGGUCUCGAGGGGGAUAGGGGCGAGCGGAACUAAUGGUGGAGCGGUGAAAUGCGUUGAUAUCAUUAGGAACUCCGGUGGCGAAGGCGGCUCGCUGGGAUCU